rnacentral:rRNA from 1 species
UGGGGAAUAUUGCACAAUGGGCGCAAGCCUGAUGCAGCCAUGCCGCGUGUGUGAAGAAGGCCUUCGGGUUGUAAAGCACUUUCAGCGAGGAGGAAGGUGGUGAGCUUAAUACGCUCAUCAAUUGACGUUACUCGCAGAAGAAGCACCGGCUAACUCCGUGCCAGCAGCCGCGGUAAUACGGAGGGUGCAAGCGUUAAUCGGAAUUACUGGGCGUAAAGCGCACGCAGGCGGUUUGUUAAGUCAGAUGUGAAAUCCCCGGGCUCAACCUGGGAACUGCAUUUGAAACUGGCAAGCUAGAGUCUCGUAGAGGGGGGUAGAAUUCCAGGUGUAGCGGUGAAAUGCGUAGAGAUCUGGAGGAAUACCGGUGGCGAAAGGCGGCCCCCUGGACGAAGACUGACGCUCAGGUGCGAAAAGCGUGGGGAGCAAAACAGGAUUAGAUACCCUGGUAGUCCACGCUGUAAAACGAUGUCGAUUUUGGAGGUUGUGCCCUUGAGGCGUGGCUUCCGGAGCUAACGCGUUAAAUCGACCGCCUGGGGAGUACGGCC